rnacentral:misc_RNA from 1 species
GAUGAAGAACGCAGCGAAAUGCGAUACGUAAUGUGAAUUGCAGAAUUCAGUGAAUCAUCGAGUCUUUGAACGCACAUUGCGCCUCCUGGUAGUCCGGGGGGCAUGCCUGUCCGAGCGUCAUUGCUGCCCUCAAGCACGGCUUGUGUGUUGGGCCUCCGUCCUCCUCCCGGGGGACGGGCCCGAAAGGCAGCGGCGGCACCGCGUCCGGUCCUCGAGCGUAUGGGGCUUCGUCACCCGCUCUUGUAGGCCCGGCCGGCGCUUGCCGACACAUCAAUCUUUUUUCCAGGUUGACCUCGGAUCAGGUAGGGAUACCCGCUGAACUUAAGCAUAUCAAUAAGCGGAGGA